rnacentral:tRNA from 1 species
GCUUUAGUAGCUCAGUCGGCAGAGCGUCAGUCUCAUAAUCUGAAGGUCGAGAGUUCGAACCUCCCCUAGAGCA